UGCGUAGGUGGCAGAUCAAGUCUGGAGUAAAAGGUAUGGGCUCAACCCGUACUGGCUCUGGAAACUGAUCAGCUAGAGAACAGAAGAGGACGGCGGAACUCCAUGUGUAGCGGUAAAAUAGCGUAGAUAUAUGGAAGAACACCGGUGGCGAAGGCGACCGUCUGGUCUGGAUUCUGACACUGAAGCACGAAAGCGUGGGGGAGCAAAUA
rnacentral:rRNA from 1 species